CUCUUUCAAACACCUUCACAUGUGCAAAGACACUCUGUGUUCAGAGUAAUGUGUGAAGAAGCAAUUUAAGAGACAUUACAUGAGUGAAAAACACCUUUUACAUGUGGAAGAGCACUUUGGGGUCCAACAAAUAGUUUUUUUUCUCUCAUUGAGAGGGAGGGCAUCCAGUAAUGAUGUGAAAUCACUACAUAUUAUUCUUUUGAAGAGCUCUAACUUUUUCUGUUUUUUUUCCCCACCUUUCAAAAUGCUGCCAGGGAUAACAUGCUUUCUAGUUAAUACGUAAUAAAAAGUACAAUGCCUUUCAUAUAAUCAUCCAGGAAAAACAGGAUUUGGGUCAGUUAAUUUCAAACAGGCUUCAGUGGCCUUUCCAGCUGGCAAUGGCACCAGUAUCAAAACGCCUGGCAGAGCUAUCAGUCUUCAGAUGUGAUGGUACGAUCAAAUUAUGAAGGAAACAACACAAAAAGCAAUGGAAAUACUUCAUUUUGGCUGUCAGACUUCGCAAGGAGGAGCGGAUUUCCAAAACUGAGUCGACAUUGGCGUUAUAAAAUUGGAGAUGAAGCUCAAAGUUUAUGUUCUAAGUGUGAUAACUCUCAACAUAUCGAAUGCCAGUUGCUUCUGCUUGUAGGCCAGCAUAAGGCCGUAUAAGGGCACCUCACAUCUCCUGGCAACCACGUUGUUAAGGACAGAUUACUUUUGUACAGUAUGAAAUUAUGAAAGGAGAAAGAGUGAGAAAGCAUAUUUUUAAAAGGCACUUAUAAAUGAACAGAGGGC
rnacentral:lncRNA from 1 species